rfam:Schistosoma mattheei strain Denwood, Zambia genome assembly, scaffold: SMTD_contig0005366
AUCCAGCUGACGAGUCCCAAAUUAGACGAGACGUGUGUCCUGGAU